AUUCUCUUAGCACAUCAGCUCCUGGAAACAAAUGCACUUAACCAGAAAAACAGGGACAUCAACCAGCAAAGAUGCAUCCUCAUUUAAUAGAGCUUGAAAUUACUAUAAUCUGUAAAGUACAGCGAGAAGAAGAAGUUUCACCUGCCUGCACAUCUGUCGUUGACUCUCCAUCUGACUUGGAGGGACUCUGAGGGACCAACCUGAGCCUGAGAAGAGGCAAGAUUCCCCUUCAAGGACACACUGGGAACUUACGGACCUCUUUCUCCAUGGUGCAGAGCGCAGAGGCUACCUGAGAAUAUCCAGAGACUACAGAGGUCAUCAAGUUGACGCAUCAAUGUUUACAUGUGAACAAACAGACGCAUAAUAGCUCUUGAGCUUGCCAUUGGGAAGUGAAAAUCAACUGCUUGAAUAAAUGUAAGGACUCAGGGACCAAAAACUAAUGAAAGGCCUCAAGAUGAGGAUCAUGGGAGGAGUCUGAAUUCUGCUAAAAUGUAGGCAGUUUCUAUCAUCCUUACUACUCAGGAGUCAUGUGGCCAGAGGUCACAAGAUUUGAGCCUUCCCCAGUUGCUCCUAUGGAUAACAUCACUACUGUAGAACCUAAGAUUGGUCUCUUGAGAUGUUUUUCAGACCUCUGCAUUCUGGCAAUCAACUGACCUCACCUGGAAUCACGAGUCAUGACUGAACCGGUCCUGUGGCCCCACCUGGGGAUAAACUCAGCACACAAGGAUCAUUUUCCACACCUCUAUGAUUUCAUAGGCAACCAAUCAACGGCACCCAUUUUUUAGCCUCCUGCUCGCCAAAGCAUCUUUGAAAAAUCCUAACCUCCAAGCCUUCGGGGAGACUGAUUUGAGUAAUAACUCUGUUCCCUGCAUGGCUGGUCUAGUGUCAAUUAAACUCUUUCUUUACUGCCAUACCAUAGUCUCAGCGAAUUGGUUUUGUCUGUGCAAUGGGCAGGAAGAACGUGUCUGGUGAGCAUCUCCACACAUUCAGAAAUUGUCCAUCUAAGACAAUGGAGUUAUUUUCACCCUCAACAAAUGCCUCAACUCUGUGACAUUUUAAGCAAAUCUUAACUUUGACUUAUGAAUUCAAGAAGGAAAAAAAAAAAGUAAGAAAA
rnacentral:lncRNA from 1 species